rnacentral:rRNA from 1 species
UACGGGGGGGGCAAGCGUUGUUCGGAAUUACUGGGCGUAAAGGGCGUGUAGGUGGCCAACUAAGUCCGACGUGAAAUCCCCAGGCUUAACCUGGGAACUGCGUCGGAUACUGGAUGGCUUGAAUUCGGGAGAGGGAUGCAGAAUUCCAGGUGUAGCGGUGAAAUGCGUAGAUAUCUGGAGGAACACCGGUGGCGAAGGCGGCAUCCUGGACCGGUAUUGACGCUGAUGCGCGAAAGCCAGGGGAGCAAACGGG